rnacentral:rRNA from 1 species
UACGAAGGGGGCUAGCGUUGCUCGGAAUCACUGGGCGUAAAGCGCACGUAGGCGGAUUGCUAAGUCAGGGGUGAAAUCCUGGAGCUCAACUCCAGAACUGCCUUUGAUACUGGCGAUCUUGAGUCCGGGAGAGGUGAGUGGAACUGCGAGUGUAGAGGUGAAAUUCGUAGAUAUUCGCAAGAACACCAGUGGCGAAGGCGGCUCACUGGCCCGAUACUGACGCUGAGGCACGAAAGCCAGGGGAGCAAACGGG